rnacentral:rRNA from 1 species
GAUGAACGCUAGCGGCAGGCCUAAUACAUGCAAGUCGAACGGUGUCUUCGGACAUAGUGGCGCACGGGUGCGUAACACGUAUGCAACCUACCUUACAUUGGGGGAUAGCCUUUCGAAAGGGAGAUUAAUACCGCAUAAGACAGUAGCUGGGCAUCCAGCAGCUGUUAAAGAUUUAUCGAUGUAAGCUGGGCAUGCGUCCAAUUAGCUAGUUGGUGAGGUAACGGCUCACCAAGGCAAUGAUUGGUAGGGGAACUGAGAGGUCAAUCCCCCACACUGGCACUGAGAUACGGGCCAGACUCCUACGGGAGGCAGCAGUAGGGAAUAUUGGGCAAUGGACGCAAGGCUGACCCUGCCAUGCCGCGUGCAGGAUGAAGGCGUUAUGCGUUGUAAACUGCUUUUAUACAGGAAGAAACGACUCUUGCGAGAGGCAUUGACGGUACUGUAUGAAUAAGCACCGGCUAACUCCGUGCCAGCCGCCGCGGUAACAC